rnacentral:rRNA from 1 species
AUUGAACGCUGGCGGCAUGCCUUACACAUGCAAGUCGAACGGCAGCACGGGAGCAAUCCUGGUGGCGAGUGGCGAACGGGUGAGUAAUAUAUCGGAACGUGCCCAGUCGUGGGGGAUAACGUAGAGAAAUUUACGCUAAUACCGCAUACGAUCUAAGGAUGAAAGCGGGGGACUCGCAAGGGCCUCGCGCGAUUGGAGCGGCUGAUAUCAGAUUAGGUUGNGGUGAGGUAAAAGCUCACCAAGCCGACGAUCUGUAGCUGGUUUGAGAGAACGACCAGCCACACUGGGACUGAGACACGGCCCAGACUCCUACGGGAGGCAGCAGUGGGAAUUUUGGACAAUGGGCGAAAGCCUGAUCCAGCAAUGCCGCGUGCAGGAAGAAGGCCUUCGGUUGUAAC